GGAGGUAGAGCACUGUUUGGACGAGGGGCCCCUCUCGGGUUACCGAAUUCAGACAAACUCCGAAUGCCAAUUAAUUUAACUUGGGAGUCAGAACAUGGGUGAUAAGGUCCGUGUUCGAAAGGGAAACAGCCCAGACCACCAGCUAAGGUCCCAAAAUAUAUGUUAAGUGGAAAAGGAUGUGGCGUUGCCCAGACAACUAGGAUGUUGGCUUAGAAGCAGCCAUCAUUUAAAGAGUGCGUAAUAGCUCACUAGUCGAGUGACACUGCGCCGAAAAUGUACCGGGGCUAAACAUAUUACCGAAGCUGUGGAUUGUCCUUUGGACAAUGGUAGGAGAGCGUUCUAAGGGCGUUGAAGCAUGAUCGUAAGGACAUGUGGAGCGCUUAGAAGUGAGAAUGCCGGUGUGAGUAGCGAAAGACGGGUGAGAAUCCCGUCCACCGAUUGACUAAGGUUUCCAGAGGAAGGCUCGUCCGCUCUGGGUUAGUCGGGUCCUAAGCUGAGGCCGACAGGCGUAGGCGAUGGAUAACAGGUUGAUAUUCCUGUACCACCUAUAAUCGUUUUAAUCGAUGGGGGGACGCAGUAGGAUAGGCGAAGCGUGCGAUUGGAUUGCACGUCUAAGCAGUAAGGCUGAGUAUUAGGCA
rnacentral:rRNA from 1 species